AUUCUCACACACACCAUCAUAUCAACGCAACCACUACAAACCAAGCGGCAAUCGGCCUUGUUGGCCAUUGGCCUCGUGCCGUCCUCCAAAAAGAUAAUGGUGGCACACAUGGGUCUCAGUUACUUCCCCUCCUCUUCCCCUUCUCUGUUUCGUCGUCCUCCUCUCUCCUCCGCCAAACGCCGACCAUUUGCCGUUGCAGCAAUGGGAGAUGAUCCUAUAAAAGAAUGGAUUCUCUCUGAAGGAAAAGCAACACAGAUAACAAAAAUUAGCCCAGUUGGUGGUGGUUGCAUCAACCAGGCAAAUCGCUACGACACGGAUGCUGGGUCCUUUUUUGUAAAAAGGAAUAGGAGCAUUGGACCCUCAAUGUUUGAAGCAGAAGCUCUUGGUUUAAGUGCAAUGUACGAAACGCAAACUAUCCGUGUUCCUAAACCAUUCAAGUUCGGAUCAUUACCUUCUGGUGGCUCAUACAUCAUUAUGGAAUUCAUAGAAUUUGGCUCCUCCAGAGGCAACCAGUUUGAGCUGGGAAGAAAGCUUGCUGAAAUGCACAAAGCUGGAAUAUCUGACAAGGGAUUUGGGUUUGAUGUCAACAACACCAUUGGCAGUACUCCACAAAUAAACACUUGGUCAUCGGAUUGGGUACAGUUUUAUGCGGAGGAAAGAUUGGGAUUUCAGCUGAGGCUAGCACUUGACCAGUAUGGCGAUAGAACCAUUUAUGAGAAAGGACAAAGGCUGGCAAAAAGUAUUGGACCUCUGUUUGAUAAUGUCACGAUCAAACCGUGUUUGCUACACGGGGACUUAUGGAGUGGAAAUAUCAGCUCUGAUAAGAAUGGAGAGCCUGUUAUACUUGACCCAGCAUGUUAUUAUGGACACAAUGAAGCAGAAUUUGGAAUGUCAUGGUGUGCUGGCUUUGGAGGUUCCUUUUAUGAUGCUUAUUUUCAGGUUAUGCCCAAGCAACCUGGUUUUGAGAAGAGGAGAGAUCUUUAUCUGUUGUAUCAUUAUCUGAACCAUUACAAUCUCUUCGGUUCCGGGUACCGUUCAUCUGCCAUGUCUAUAAUCGACGACUAUCUGCAGAUACUUCAAACUUAGAAAUGAUUUUUCAAGUGAGAUUUGUUUGAAGGUUCCUAGCUCAUAGUCGAUUUUGCCGAUGCCAGUUGUACCUAGAGCUCUACACGGAGCGAGUUAGAAAAAGAGUUGCCGGCUGCCGCCGUGCGCUGGCGGUGGCAGUACUCGCCGGAAAAUAGGAUUUAGGGCUUCGCUAGAUCUCGCGGCUGAAAAUGGCGGGAGGAAGAGAAUUGGAAGGGGCGGUUGAAAUUGGCGACUAAUUCAUCGGAAUAGGCUGGAAUUGCUAAUAUUCUUUAUG